rnacentral:snRNA from 1 species
AUGUCGAGUUUUUUAGCUCAGAUCAAAGUGUAGUAUCUAUUCUUUACUGUUUCAUCGCAGUAAAAUCCUCUAUGAGGAUCAUGUGAUUGAAUUAUUUUUAGGACUUGAAUGUUU